rnacentral:rRNA from 1 species
AUUAGCUAGUUGGUGAGGUAACGGCCCACCAAGGCAACGAUCAGUAUCCGGCCUGAGAGGGCGGACGGACACACUGGGACUGAGACACGGCCCAGACUCCUACGGGAGGCAGCAGUGGGGAAUUGUUCGCAAUGGGCGAAAGCCUGACGACGCAACGCCGCGUGGAGGAUGAAGGUCUUCGGAUUGUAAACGGCUAACUCUGUGCCAGCAGCCGCGGUAAUACAGAGGGGGCAAGCGUUGUUCGGAAUUACUGGGCGUAAAGGGCGCGUAGGCGGCCUGUUAAGUCGAACGUGAAAUCCCUGGGCUCAACCCAGGAACUGCGUCCGAUACUGGCUGGCUUGAAUCCGGGAGAGGGAUGCGGAAUUCCAGGUGUAGCGGUGAAAUGCGUAGAUAUCUGGAGGAACACCGGUGGCGAAGGCGGCAUCCUGGACCGGUAUUGACGCUGAGGCGCGAAAGCCAGGGGAGCAAACGGGAUUAGAUACCCCGGUAGUCCUGGCCCUAAACGAUGAAUGUUUGGUGUGGCGGGUAUCGAUCCCUGCCGUGCCGAAGCUAACGCAUUAAACAUUCCGCCUGGGGAGUACGGUCGCAAG